rnacentral:rRNA from 1 species
AGAGUUUGAUCAUGGCUCAGGAUAAACGCUGGCGGCGUGCCUAACACAUGCAAGUCGAACGCCCCUGUGCAAACAGGGAGUGGCGGACGGGUGAGGAACACGUGGGUAUCUGCCCUGGGGUGAGGAAUACCGGCGAGAAAUCGCCGACAAUACCGCAUAGGCUCCGCAAGGAGCAAAGUCGCAAGACGCCCUGGGAUGAG